rnacentral:rRNA from 1 species
AUGCGAAAGCGAGUUCUCCAUGGAAUUCACACAACAUUCCUGCGUUCUCGUUGGCAGGUCUCUGCUCUAUUCCAUGUCCAUGGGGACAGUGCGUCGAUCGUGGAGCAUGGCCUGGCAAGCCGCGACCUGACUCUGUUCGGCCAACCAGACAAGUACUACAAGCAGGGAUGCUAUCAAGGAUGGGGAUUUUGUCAACGCCUUUUAAUGCGUCAGCCACAACCUCAAGAUCAGGCUCCUUGUUAUGGAGAAGGUGCUCUCGAGGGUGCUAGCACACUCAACAAACAUGGAUGUGCCUUGCUACCCAAAGAUUCUCCUGGUGAUGUUCCUAAGAGGGCACCAGAUGAAGAAUCGGCGAAGGGUACAACCAGCAAAGAUGAUGCCGGGAACCUGACGACCUCUGAUAGCAAUGUUGAUGGUGCUUCACCUUCUUCGGAGAAGGCUGGUGAGUUUUUCUAUUCAGCUCAAAGAAGCGCUGUAGCACAAGAGAGGCAAUUGGAAGCAAAUCAGUCUGGUCAGAAUUCACCGGAGAGUCUUUCCUUGGAGCAGGAUUCUCAAUUGGCAGGUCAGGAAUCAUCUCCCGUUCAGCUAAGCUACAUGUUCUUCGCUGAAAGAUUAGUGAGACUGGUUGAUUCUGAACAUGUACCAUCUGUUCCAUGUGAGAGAAAUAGCAUGUCGAUAUCAUCUUGAAAUAAUCACAGCUGGGGGGAACGAGGUUGGUUGCUGAGGGUGAUGUGCAGAGCGGGAGGAAGGAGGUGUGAGGCUUGGAACUCUCCUUGUGAAGGGCUCAGGGACAGCAGUGAGGAGCAUGGCAGGUGUCCAACUCGACCUCCUCGGCAACUGCAACAACAAGGGUGGCCGUGGCAACAAGGGAGGAGACAACAACUAGCAGAGCAAUGAGAUCGCUAAGUCUCUGAUCCCGCCACUUCCUGCUCGAUUCGCUUGGCUCCUGUGCUGAUUUCUCUUUGUUUUCCCAGGUUUGUUGUGGUUGCAAAAUGGCGCAGAGCAACUGGGAAGCGGACUACGGACAUGAUGUGUGAUGUACACAUCCAUGGCUAUUUGCUCAAGUGGAACAUCCAAACGGCCAACCUGUUCAUGGUGGAGGGGGCGAUGCCUGCUAAGUCCUCCAAUUCAUGCUCAGGUGCAACCUGGAAUCAUUGGGUUUAUGACAUUGGGUGGCAGUAUAAUUCUCAUGCUGACGACAAUUAUUUUUUUUGACGAGGAUUCAGUGGUUGUCUGUGGCAUGUGUUCAACUAGGAACUCGUCAUUAUUGGAGUCUUUUCAUCUGUAUAUACCAAAGCAAGGCGGGAGAAGAAGCAGAUUGAUUGAUGAAGGAAACACAUGAAAAAGAGGAAAAGAACAGCUAAAUGAUUGAUGGGGCAUGUGACUUCUCCCUGUUGGUUCUCAUUUCUGCAAAUUAAACCAAUAAUCGAUAUUGUCAGUUUGAGAGUAUGCUGGUUGUGAGAGUUAAUGAAGAUGGUAACUCAUGCUGUUGAAAGUACACAAGCAGUCACUAUUAAGGUCUACCGAAAAACUUGUAGUUUGGGGAUGGCAACAGUUCUACUCACGAUGGUGCUGCAUGCUGGAAGUACUCAUUAUCCUGUUGGCUCUACUCUGGGUUCCAUAUUAUGGAGAAGGUGUUCUGGAUGGUCCUAACACGCUCAUAAACAUGGAUGUGCCUUGCUACCCUCCGGGUGGUGUUCCUAAGACGGGAACCAAAUGAAGAAUCGGUGAAGGGUACAACCAAUAAAGAUGAUGCCGGGAACUUGACGACCUCUGGUAGCAAUGUUAUCGGUGCUCCACCUCUGGAGAAAGCAUGUGGAAGAUCAUUUCCUUUGUUCUCUGAAUUGCAUGCACUUUGGUGAACAAAAAGUAUGAUUGGUGUUCCUGGUGAAAACUAGUGAAGCUAGAAGAUGCUAUGAGAAGGAACUUGCCAAGACUAUUUGAAGAACAGCCUGAUCUCCUGCAUGAGGGAGUGUUGGAACUGGAACGAGGCGUAGGGGGUUGUGGUACAUGGACCACAACAUGACGAACCAGGAGGGGGUGCACAUGCUGGCUGCAGUUGUUGAGGAUAAGGAGACUAGAGUCCUAAUCCAUCACUGUAGGAUGGGGCACGUGUCUUUUGAUAAGAUGUAUCAAGUAUUUCCUAAUGUAAUGAGUGGUGUGGAUAGUUGCAAUGUGAUGCGUGUGAGUUUGCUAAACACACCAGAAACUCAUAUGUAAGAGGAUCAGGA